rnacentral:rRNA from 1 species
GAUGAACGCUGGCGGCGUGCUUAACACAUGCAAGUCGAGCGGACAGAUGCUGCUCUUGUGCCUCUGACGUGUGCCGCGCGCGUGAGUGUAACGCGUGUAUCCCGUCCCUGUAUUUCUGGUAUCUCCAGGGAAAACCGGAUCUAAUACGGUAUAAGAUAUUGAACCGUGGGGUUCAAUGGUAAGAGACGGUUGUUCGGUCACUACUCGAUGCAUCCACGCCUGAUUGGGUAGUUGGUAAGGUAACGGCUUACCAAGGCAACGAGGCGUAGCAGAACUGAGAGGGUGAUCGGCCACACUGGAACGGAGACACGGUCCAGACUCCUACGGGAGGCAGCAGUAGGGAAUCUUGCGCAAUGGGCGAAAGCCUGACGGAGCAACGCCGCGUGCGGGAUGAAGGUCUUCGGGUGGUAAAACUCUGUUAUUAGGUAAGAACCAGUUUGUGAGUAACUCUGCGCGUCUUGACGGUAACUAAGCAAAAAGCCACGGCUAACUACGUG